GAUGAACGCUGACAGAAUGCUUAACACAUGCAAGUCUUUGGCGAAGCUGUGCUUGCACAGCCUAGCCAAGGCGGACGGGUGAGUAACGCGUAAGGAACUUGCCCUGCAGUCAGGGAUAACAGACGGAAACGACUGAUAAGACCUGGUAAAGUCAGGCGGACUCAUGUCCAGCCUGAUGAAAAGGGAUGCUGCAGGAGAGCCUUGCGUCCUAUUAGCUUGUUGGUGGGGUAACGGCCCACCAAGGCGAUGAUAGGUAGCCGGCCUGAGAGGGUGGACGGCCAAAAGGGGAAUGAGAUACGGCACUUACUCCUACGGGAGGCAGCAGUGGGGAAUAUUGGACAAAGGGGGCAACCCUGAUCCAGCAAUUCUGUGUGCAAGAUGAAGGUUUUCGGAUUGUAAAGUGCUUUCAGCAGGGAAGAAAAAAAUGACGGUACCUGCAGAAGAAGCGACGGCUAAAUACGUG
rnacentral:rRNA from 1 species